rnacentral:sRNA from 1 species
AUCCAAACCCGAUUGAAGUGGUAAUACUUUUUGCCAGUGUCAUCCUGAGCUUGUCGAAGGAUUGGUAUGUAAAAGAUGCUUCGAUAAACUCAGCAUGACAAUUAUUUAAGAGCGGUGCGAGCAAAAAGAUUGCAACGGAAAGCGGGACUAACA